GAAGGUAUAGCUCAGUGGUAGAGUGUGUGCUUAGCAUGCAUGAGGACUUGGGUUCAAUCCCUAGUACCUCCA
rnacentral:tRNA from 1 species